CUCUGAAAUGAUUUUUUGUUUUUUGUAUUUCCAGGUUAGAAAGUCUCCAGUUAGUACCGUAAGAAAUUACCUCAGAAAUUUCAAGCUCAGCUGCCUGACUAAGUAAGUGUGACAAAGCCUCUCAGCAGUUCAUCACACUUUGAGAAUUUGUUGAAACUUAUUACAGUACUCUAAGCUUUGGAAAAGUCCAAGUUGAAAUCCAGAGUCACUUUUUUUUCUUUUCUCAUUCUACCACAAAUCGCACUUAGGUCCUUCACACACAUGGGAUGACUGACGUCAUAUGUAGCGUGCAACCUACACAAAGAGCACAUGGCAUGAUGUAAUGGCAUAUCAAGGGAAGUUUCUUCAGUCAAAAACAAUAAAGCCAAGUUAAACAUUGUAUCACCAAAAGACUGAGCAAGUGGCAAGAUAAAGGUCAGAGCCCAGAAUGAUCCAUGCUUAUUAAUUGAAGUCCUCCAAUUCAAGCCACAAGGAGAAUGGAUGCAGAACAAAUAGAAAGACCCUUCCAAACUCCAUUCAACAAU